rnacentral:pre_miRNA from 1 species
CAUUUACUCCCUCCGUUCGGAAUUACUUGUCUCGGAAAUGGAUGUAUCUAGAACUAAAAUACGUCUAGAUACAUCCAUUUCUGCGACAAGUAAUUCCGAACGGAGGGAGUACCUA